rnacentral:lncRNA from 1 species
GCCGCCGAGGCCUCUGCUGCCCAGGUCGCCGUAUUCCCCGCGGGGGUCAGCCGGGCUGCCGCCUCAGGCCGCCCACCCCGCUCCGGCUGCCGCCGCCGCCUCCUCUCCCUUCCCGCGGCGGGAGGAGGCGAUGGAGCGACCUCCAGGCACCGGGCAGCUUCCCCGCCCCACCCCCAGCAGCCGGCGGGGCGGAGGAGAAAGACGCCAGGAAGCAGAACGUCCCCGCCCGCAGGAGGGUCGCUCCGGGGCUGCGCCCCCUGGUUCCUGCCCGCGAGCAGCUGCCGGGACCCUCCCUGCCGUGUUGCUGCCCGGAAAGCUCGAAGGCUCUCGGGCCUGCAGGGAGGGACACUUUCUUCCUCACUAAAAUGUGAGCCUCCAAAGCAAGAAACUUGAGGACAUGGG